rnacentral:rRNA from 1 species
UACGAAGGGGGCUAGCGUUGCUCGGAAUUACUGGGCGCAAAGGGCGCGUAGGCGGCACUGUUAGUCAGGCGUGAAAGUCCUGGGCUCAACCUGGGAACUGCGCUUGAUACGGCAGAGCUAGAGGAUGGAAGAGGGUCGCGGAAUUCCCAGUGUAGAGGUGAAAUUCGUAGAUAUUGGGAAGAACACCGGUGGCGAAGGCGGCGACCUGGUCCAUUACUGACGCUGAGGCGCGACAGCGUGGGGAGCAAACAGG